GGGGAUGUAGCUCAUAUGGUAGAGUGCUCGCUUUACAUGCAAGAGGUAUGGGGAUCAAUACCUUGCAUUUCCA
rfam:Ipomoea nil DNA, scaffold: scaffold3245, cultivar: Tokyo-kokei standard.